UACAGAGGGUGCGAGCGUUGUCCGGAAUCACUGGGCGUAAAGGGCGCGUAGGCGGUUUCUCAAGCGUGCGGUGAAAGCUCAGGGCUCAACCCUGAGUCGGCCGUGCGAACUGGGAGACUGGAGCACGGUAGAGGCACAUGGAAUUCCGGGUGUAGCGGUGGAAUGCGUAGAGAUCCGGAAGAACACCGGUGGCGAAGGCGGUGUGCUGGGCCGUUGCUGACGCUGAGGCGCGACAGCGUGGGGAGCAAACAGG
rnacentral:rRNA from 1 species